CAGUUCCCAUGUGAUCCAUCAGGCUCUGAACAUGAAUUUUAAUGGGCUCAGAACCACUUCUCUACCCUGAGGUCACAGGCUGUCAGAGUGAAUCUUCCACAAACUGAUUGGAACCUGAAGAAUUUGCUCUGUCAAGAGAGAGAUUAUUACAUCGCAAGACAAUGCAUCGCUCCAGCAAGGAUAACAAAGAGAAUGGGAAGGAAAGGGUUAUGAAGAGUUCAUGGAAGGCACCUAGGCAGACUACUUUUAGGAAAGAGUGGAUGUGGAAGCUAAGUAUCUGGAAAUUGAUUUCCUUAGAACAGUUUGUGUUUACAUGUCUUCUGAAAGGUUUUAUGUACUCCCAAGAGUGAAGCAGCAAGUCUUGCUUAAGCAAAGCUGGUGAAAUCAGAGCCUGGUCCAAGGCUCAGAAGCAUUUGCGGGGAAAAGCAAACACUUUUUGUGGGAGAAGGAAACAAAGGAGAAGAGAGGAGGAGGAAGAAAUUGAAAAAGAAGGGGAGGAGAAGAGGAAAAGAAAAAGAGAUGUUGAGAGAAAGAAAAACAGAGAACUGUGUGUGAUUGGAUGCCAUGACUCCUCAGUCUCAGUGCUAAUGCCGUUGUUACCUAACUCUAUUUAGGGAACUUUCCAGAACACAGCAAAGCUUUGUGGGCCUGGCUUUCAGAACUUAUGCAACAAUUGUUUUGGGAGCAGCCUGAAAAUUUUACAAGAGAACUGAGUUUUCAAGACACUGACAGUGUGACCAAAAGAUCAAAGGUUUGGUGCAGUGGGACUAAGUUUCAGGAAGCCUUUCAAAUUGUGAAGAUUUUCCUCCCUGUUAUGGCAGUUAAGACAUGUGAAAAUGGUAGUUCGAGACACUUAUAAGCAACUUUCUUCUUAGUUCACAAUGUUCCGUGAAUGUCAGUGCCCUCCAAACCCAUGAGAACAAAGCAGGCAACCAGGAUGAUUACUCCCAAAUCAUUGAUAAAAGGAGAGAGAAGUACAGAGAUACACAGUGAUUUGUGUGGGUUGCCAAAAAGUUGCACGGAGGAAACACAGAUAAAUUAAAUACUGGUUAGCAAUCUUCAAUAACCAGGAGAUGCUUAACAUUUAUUUAGAAAUCUGCAACAUUUUAUAAAUCAUUGUUUUGGCUGCUGGGACAAACUCAGAAUCUGGAACCCACGGAAACCCUUCAGUUACACAAAGGCUUUCCAGUUCAUUGCUACUGCACUGAAGAACAGUCUUCACAACUAUACCUGGAACUUAUUAGGCCAGGAAGGCAAGGCGUUGAGUGUUUCAAUUGAAUAUUGCAACUGAAGACAUUCACUCUGCGUUGAUCACCUAUGGAGUGAUCAAAUUUCAACCCUUUGAAGUUUCCUAAAUGAAAGAGGCACUCUGAAUUCAAAUGCUGUUUGAAUGAACUGACUGCUUCAGCACUGUCUUGUAGAUAUAGUCCAUUCAAAUAAAAGACAAAUAUCUGACUGAAUUUUGUUAGCACGUUAAGACAUUUAUUAUAAAAAGGUUUAAGAAGAAAAUAAUGGUCACAAUUCUUCAGAAAACAUGUGAACUAAUGUGACAAAACACUGUGGUGUUGCAAACUCAAGUGCUGCUCUGGCCAAGUCACCUCGCUGAAAUCUCCACUUCCACUUGUGCACCCUGCCAAGCCACUCUCUACACAGCUGCCAGAGUGAUUACAAAAACAACGUGGGAUUAUGCUACCCCUGCUUAUCUAAAAUUUGUCAAAAUGCCCGUUACACUUUGAAUAAAAUACAGAUUCCUCUCAGAUCUC